GGGGUUGUAGCUCAGUGGUGAGCGUUUGCCUCACAAGCAAUGGGUUCAAACCUCAGCACCA
rnacentral:tRNA from 1 species